CCUACGGGGGGCAGCAGUGGGGAAUAUGGGACAAUGGGGGGAACCCUGAUCCAGCCAUGCCGCGUGUGUGAAGAAGGCCCUCGGGUUGUAAAGCACUUUCAGUGAGGAAGAACGCCUGGUGGUUAAUACCCAUCAGGAAAGACAUCACUCACAGAAGAAGCACCGGCUAACUCCGUGCCAGCAGCCGCGGUAAUACGGAGGGUGCGAGCGUUAAUCGGAAUUACUGGGCGUAAAGCGCGCGUAGGUGGCUUGAUAAGCCGGUUGUGAAAGCCCCGGGCUCAACCUGGGAACGGCAUCCGGAACUGUCAAGCUAGAGUGCAGGAGAGGAAGGUAGAAUUCCCGGUGUAGCGGUUAAAUGCGUAGAGAUCGGGAGGAAUACCAGUGGCGAAGGCGGCCUUCUGGACUGACACUGACACUGAGGUGCGAAAGCGUGGGUAGCAAACAGGAUUAGAUACCCCAGUAGUC
rnacentral:rRNA from 1 species